UUGUUAAAUCUUUUAUUGUUCUACCUUUUUUUUAAUUUUUUUGUAUACAAAAUAUUUAAUUCUACAGAUACAUAAUUUUUUUAAAUAACAAAAAAAACGACAUUUAAAAAAAACAACAUUUAAAAAAAACAUCAUUUAAAAAAAACAACAUUUAAGAAAAACAACAUUUAAAAAAAAUAACAUUUAAGAAAAACAUUAAAAAGGGUCAGUGGAAUAGGACAACCAAAAGCAAAACAAAUAAUUAGUUCUAAGAGUUGUAUUACUUUUGUAAUAUAGCAAAAAAAAGGGAAUCGAAAAAAAAAAAAAAAAAAUUCAAAGCGCCAUUGCUUAUAAAAUGUUAAUAGAAAAAUAUGAUAAAAAACCUAAAUUCGACAAAGGGUUCACCCCCUUCUAUUUUAUUUCUUAUCCCUUAUACAAUAUUCAAUGUAGAAGCAUCUUACAGAAAUAUUUAAAUUCUUAUGAUGAAGGUGUUCAUUUUAAUUAUUUAAUGAAUGCGAAUAAUUUGAAUAUAAAAACAUACGCCAUUUACAUUUUUAACAGCUUACAUCAGAUAUAUAGUGUAGAAGGCAUAAAAGGGUUAUAUAACGGUUUGAUACCUAUGAUAGCGUAUAUAUUGUCGAAGAAAACAAUUUAUUAUUUUUUGGAAAAAAUACAUUUUUCUAUACAAAAAAAAAAAAAAAAUAAAAAAAGAAAAGAUACUUACAAUCAUAAAAGUAGUGUAUUAAAAUAUGAAAACAAAUUUAUUGAUGAAAAAGAAAAUACAAAUAAUUUCAUUGGGGACAAUCUUAAUUAUAAAGUUGUUAAAUACAUGAAUUUUGUUAAAGAAGAAAAUAUUCUCGUAAAAAAAAAAAAAAAAAAAAAAUUUUUUUACUUAUCAUUUUACCAUAGUCUUUAUGAAUAUAUAAGUUCAAUAGUGGCUUAUCCUUUAUUAAAUAUUUCAACAAAAUUGAUUAUUUUUCAAGAUAAUACGAAAUCACUAUUUUACAACUUAAAAAAUAUAACCCAACUGACAUAUAAGAUUGACGGAGUUAGCGGCUUUUUUAAAGGGUUGAAUAAUUAUCUAAUAAUACAAUCAUUGGAUAAAGUAUUAAAUUGUUUUUUAUAUAAAUUAUUCUCAUCUAACUAUUCUUACAAUAAAGUUAUUACAAUUAAAGUAGUUUUAACAACGUGUUUAAAUACUAUCAUAGCUCCUUACAUUCAAUAUUCAAUGCUAAAUAGGUCACAAUCUCAAGUAUUGGGUUUAUGUAAGGAUACAAGCUUUAAUGAAUUUUUUAGUAAUUACCCAUGGAAAAGUCAUGUGUCUAAUGUAACCUUUUGUUUAGCAGUAACUGCAGUUCAGCUAAUGGUAAUAAUAAAAAAAGAGAAAAACACAAAUACACAAGAAACAC
rnacentral:lncRNA from 1 species